rnacentral:hammerhead_ribozyme from 1 species
AUCCGGCUGACGAGUUCCAGAUAGAAGAAAACGCGCGUCCUGAAU